rnacentral:lncRNA from 1 species
GAGUUGGGCAAAAGACUCUGGCGGUGCAGAGGUCCACAGCUCACUGAUCCUCUGGUUUGAACGUUGACCUCAGAGCAAAUUGGAAAGAUGCAUGAAGUAAGGAUUUCUGAAUCAGAGUCUCAGCCUCUGGAGAAUGAAUAGCUUGAAGGUUGCACAAUACUAUGAAAACACCCUGGAGAAAGAAGGUGGAGAAGUGGGCCCAGCACACAGAAGAGGACCAUCCCUGACCACUACCAUUGGCCUUGCUUAUGAUCCCAAGCCCCUGUUCUUCAGGGGCUGCACUUACACGGAGAGCAGAUGUGCAAAUAUGAAGCUAGGGGUCAAAUCGGAGCUGCAGCUGCCGGCCUGCACCACAACCACAGCAACACCAGAUCCGAACCAUCUUUGCAACCUACACUGCAGCUCACAGCAAUGUCGUAUACCCAACUCACUAAGCAGCGAGGCCAGGGAUCGAACCUGCAGAGAUUUGUUUCUGCUGUGCUACAAUUGGAACUCUCCAGGUGCACAAUUUCAAUCAACAUACCAAGCACCAUUCACCACUUACUGUCAUUGCAUCUGAUUUCUAAAUUUUAUUUUUAACAAUAGGACCUUAAACUUGUAUAGACCUUUAUAGAUUUAGGUUCAAUUUGGUAUCCAAUUAUUUCAUUUGAACCAUGCAGCAUCCCUAUGAUGAACUUGGUUGCAGUAUUCUUAAUCACAUUUUGAAAAUGAGAAUUCUUUAAAUAUGGACUUUGUUGUAUCCUGUAACACAUGACCCAGAACUAAACUGAAUGGAAGUGUCUGGGGUCUGAACUUGAGUUGAACAGAGAUGGGAUCGGUGCUGAGAACAUAUGGUAACUGUUUAGGCAGAACAAGGCAAUCAGAAAAUGAUGUGAUGGGUAGCAGGUGAGCAGCCGCUCAACUGGUGACCUCCAUGGGGAUCCAGGCAUAAGACCAGGGUGUUCCCACAACAAAAAAAAAAUCUAUCAAAGAUUAGGAAGCUAUCUGUGAAGGCUCAGGUAGCUCCCAUUCAAAUAUACAUGAUGACAAUGACACAGCCAUGGAACCAGGAUUUAUUACCCAAAUUACUCCGUCCCUGGAGACAAAACAUUCUUAAGGAACUAUAAUGCUAUAAAAAGAGAUAACUCAGGCAUGAAUGAUUGGGUUUCUGCCCUGAGCUAUAGGUUACUCAUUGGAUUUGCUACAGUAGGUUUUUAUAUGGUAUACCUGUCUCCAGGCAUCUGUCCUUCAACUCCAACCUCCUUCUGGCAGAAAGAGAAAUCAUCUUUGUUAUUAAGACCUUUAAAAACUGGAUUCUGCCUUCCCUUCUCAUUAUCUGCCCUAGCCCUUUAUAUUCUAGCAUUUCAUGUUUAGGGACUUUUUGUUAUUCAUUCCAUCUUCUUGGAAAACGUUUUUCCUCCUUUUCUGCAUAACAAUGUAUCUUGCAUUUUCAUAUCAUACAUUUUUUAUUUUCCCAACAAAGAUUUAUUGAACACCCAUUAUAAGCACUGUGUUAGAAUCUGAGAAUACAAAGAUAAAUAAAUAAGGCCUUUUAAUUCUAGAAAUUCACAGCAAGAUGGUGGGUGAGGUGCUUGUGGUUAUAGAUAGCCACUAGAAUUCAGUGUAAUGGUUAGUUUUGUUAAAGAAUUAUUCUAGAAGAAAUACAAUCAAAAAUCUCAUUGAUGUAAAAUAAACAUGUCAAAAAUGGAAAGAUUGUGUUUAACUCAUUAAUGCAUGAGGUAACCAGCAAGAUGUCAUAACUGAUUCAAAGGAGUUACUGUUGCAUCCAUGAGGAUGCAGGUUGGAUCCCUGGCCUUGCUUAGUGGAUUAAAGGACCCAGCAUUGCUGCAAGCUUCAGUGUAUGUUGCAGACCUGGCUUAGAUCUGGUGUUGCUGUGGCUAUGGCAUAGGGUAGCAACCAUAGCUCCCAUUCAACCCCUAGCCUAGGAACUCCAUGCUGCACC